rnacentral:rRNA from 1 species
GACGUAGGGUGCGAGCGUUGUCCGGAUUUAUUGGGCGUAAAGAGCUCGUAGGCGGCUCGUCGCGUCGACCGUGAAAACCCGCGGCUUAACUGCGGGCUUGCGGUUGAUACGGGCGGGCUAGAGUUCGGUAGGGGAGACUGGAAUUCCUGGUGUAGCGGUGAAAUGCGCAGAUAUCAGGAGGAACACCGGUGGCGAAGGCGGCAUCCUGGACCGGCAUUGACGCUGAGGAGCGAAAGCCAGGGGAGCAAACGGG